AUUGAACGCUGGCGGCAGGCCUAACACAUGCAAGUCGAGCGAGCGGCGGACGGGUGGAUGAUUGCUGAGAAUCUGCCUGAUGGAGGGAUCUAAGUGGUGUAAACGGUAGCUACUACCGCAAACCAUCAGAUGGGCCCUCAUGGGAUUAGCUAGUGGGUGGGGUAACGGCUCACCUAGGCGCCGAUCCCUAGCUGGUCUGAGAUGCUGACCAGCCACACUGGAACUGAGACACGGCCCAGACUCCUACGGGAGGCAGCAGUGGGGAAUAUUGCACAAUGGUCGCAAGCCUGACGCAGCAAUGCCGCGUGUGUGAAGAAGGCUUUCGGGUUGUAAAGCACUUUUGGUAGGGAGGCGGUACCGAAAGAAGAAGCACCGGCUAACUACGUGCCAGCAGCCGCGGUAAUUC
rnacentral:rRNA from 1 species